rnacentral:lncRNA from 1 species
CUUUUUCUCCUGUCACCAUGUUAGGCAUUUUUCAGAGUCGACACUCGGAACUUGUUUUUCUUUUGGUACCAGGAAUUGAACUCGGGGCCUAACACCUUCCAGGCAGGUGCUGCACCACUGAGCUACAUCUCCAGCCCCAGCAACUUGUCUACCGCUGCUCCUGGAGAAAGAUACAGUAUUCUCUUACACCUACGAUUCCAAAACUUCCUCUGAGCAGCUCAGAUAAGUGGUCAUAAGUGUUUGCUUUUCCUACUCAACUAAUUCUGGGAUUAAACAGAAGACUUCAGUCUCCAGUGCCUCCACCUUUCUUGAUAGAUAUGUUCUUUGGGAGCCAAUAUGCAUUUUUCAAAAAAGCCCUUACACUGGAAUGCUUCAAGGAUAGAAAGAAUACCUGCACCUUACUCAAGACCCCUGCAAAGAUAAAUACUGAAUGGAUGUAUGUUUUCUUUUCUUUUCUUUUCUUUUUCCAGCUUUAAUUGAGUUUAUUGGUACAUUUUAGGGAUACAGUACAGUUACAUUCAUUGUUGGGAUCUUGUACCUCUACAUGACAGGUCUUGGUUCUCAUUUUUUCCCCUUGUCCCUGCCCUCCCUUCACCCCCUCCUCCCCUCCCCAUCUACAAACACUUUAUUUCCUUCUUUUCAUUAUCACACAUUUUUUCUUUUCCCUUAUUACCCUUCCCUUACCCAUCCCACCU